rnacentral:rRNA from 1 species
AGAACGAACGCUGGCGGCGUGCUUAACACAUGCAAGUCGAACGCGAAAGUUUUCUUCGGAAAGCGAGUAGAGUGGCGCACGGGUGAGUAACGCGUAAAUAAUCUACCCUUGCAUCUGGGAUAACCCACCGAAAGGUGUGCUAAUACCGGAUACGUUCUUUUAACCGCGAGGUUUUAAGAAGAAAGGUGGCCUCUGAUAUAAGCUACUGUGCAGGGAGGAGUUUGCGUACCAUUAGCUAGUUGGUAGGGUAAUGGCCUACCAAGGCAACGAUGGUUAGCGGGUCUGAGAGGAUGAUCCGCCACACUGGAACUGGAACACGGACCAGACUCCUACGGGAGGCAGCAGUGAGGAAUAUUGCGCAAUGGGGGAAACCCUGACGCAGCGACGCCGCGUGGAUGAUGAAGGCCUUCGGGUCGUAAAAUCCUGUCAGAUGGAAAGAAGUGUAUAUGUGUUAAUAUCACAUAUAUUUGACGGUACCAUCAAAGGAAGCACCGGCUAACUCCGUGCCAGCAGCCGCGGUAAUACGGAGGGUGCAAGCGUUGUUCGGAAUUACUGGGCGUAAAGCGCGCGUAGGUGGUCUGUUAUGUCAGAUGCGAAAGUCCACGGCUCAACCGUGGAAGUGCAUUUGAAACUGGCAGACUUGAGUACUGGAGGGGGUAGUGGAAUUCCCGGUGUAGAGGUGAAAUUCGUAGAUAUCGGGAGGAAUACCGGUGGCGAAGGCGACUACCUGGCCAGAUACUGACACUGAGGUGCGAAAGCGUGGGGAGCGAACAGGAUUAGAUACCCUGGUAGUCCACGCCGUAAACGAUGUCAACUAGGUGUUGGGAUGGUUAAUCGUCUCAUUGCCGCAGCUAACGCAUUAAGUUGACCGCCUGGGGAGUACGGUCGCAAGAUUAAAACUCAAAGGAAUUGACGGGGGCCCGCACAAGCGGUGGA